AAGGUGCCACAAAAUUCUUUCCUGCUUUCAUGGGACAGUGUAAAGUGGGUGGGAAUGCUGGUUCAAAAUGAAAGUUGAAGUCUUAGCUAUAACUCUUUCCUGUUUUUAAAUAGAGAUUAUGACUUUCCAAAGUUGGUCAUUAUUAUCUUUUAAUUCCAUCACUGAGAGAUGUCAAUUCUUUUCAAAUUGAGAAUAUAUAAAAGUUUGAAACAAUCAGAAUUGUUUGACAUCUGCCUACUGUUAUUGAUGCUGCUGUCCCAGCAUUUUGUUGACACUUCAGACUGAUCCAGAUGCUGGGAAAUUAGUUGAGACUUGUAUUUACAGCUUACCACUGAAAUGUAUCAAGUUAGUGUUUUAUUUGAAGUACUGAUCGCAAAAGUCUUUGGAUUUUAAAAGAAAUCUGGCAAUUGAAAUUAAACAAGUUCUUCCUUGAAACUGCCUUUGUGUUCCAAUGUUGAGCUGCAUUUUCUCUACAUCAGACAAUAGCAGCUUAGAGCACUUACUAUGUGAUGUGAUUUUUUUUUUUUUUUUAAAUAUCUGUUUGUAAAUGUAGCCUUUGGAAUCAUUGCAAUACAGCACAAUUUGGUUUUGAGUAUAAUACCCAUUUACAAUGUUUGAGCAAGUCCCAGAAUUCAUUUAAAAUAGCUUUUUAAAAACAUGCACAUGAAUACUUCACCAUUAAAAAUAGGGGAAGGGGGGGGGGAGACUGAAACCAGGAAGAAAGAUUCUCCACAGCAGGAAAAAUAAAAUAAAUAAUUGGAGAUAUACCAAUCUCC